rnacentral:rRNA from 1 species
GAUGAACGCUGGCGGCGUGCCUAAUACAUGCAAGUCGAGCGAACAGAUGAGGAGCUUGCUCCUCUGACGUUAGCGGCGGACGGGUGAGUAACACGUGGAUAACCUACCUAUAAGACUGGGAUAACUUCGGAAAACCGGAGCUAAUACCGUAUAAUAUAUUGAACCGCAUGGUUCAAUAGUGAAAGACGGUUUUGCUGUCACUUCUAGAUGGAUCCGCGCCGCAUUAGCUAGUUGGUAAGGUAACGGCUUACCAAGGCAACGAUGCGUAGCCGAACGGAGAGGGUGAUCGGCCACACUGGAACUGAGACACGGUCCAGACUCCUACGGGAGGCAGCAGUAGGGAAUCUUCCGCAAUGGGCGAAAGCCUGACGGAGCAACGCCGCGUGAGUGAUGAAGGUCUUCGGAUCGUAAAACUCUGUUAUUAGGGAAGAACAAAUGUGUAAGUAACUAUGCACGUCUUGACGGUACCUAAUCAGAAAGCCACGGCUAACUACGUG